ACCUGACUGCUAUCGGAUUGAUACUAAGCCAUGCGAGUCAUUGUAGCAAUACAAGGCAUACGGCUCAGUAACGCGUAGUCAACCUAACCUAUGGACGGGAAUAACCUCGGGAAACUGAGAAUAAUGCCCGAUAGAACAUUAUACCUGGAAUGGUUUAUGUUCCAAAUGAUUUAUCGCCAUAGGAUGGGACUGCGGCCUAUCAGUUUGUUGGUGAGGUAAUGGCCCACCAAGACUAUUACAGGUACGGGCUCUGAGAGGAGUAGCCCGGAGAUGGGUACUGAGACACGGACCCAGGCCCUAUGGGGCGCAGCAGGCGAGAAAACUUUGCAAUGUGCGAAAGCACGACAAGGUUAAUCCGAGUGAUUUCUGCUAAAGAGAUCUUUUGUUAGUCCUAGAAACACUAACGAAUAAGGGGUGGGCAAGUUCUAGUGUCAGCCGCCGCGGUAAAACCAGCACCUCAAGUGGUCAGGAUGAUUAUUGGGCCUAAAGCAUCCGUAGCCGGCUCUGUAAGUUUUCGGUUAAAUCUGUACGCUCAACGUACAGGCUGCCGGGAAUACUGCAGAACUAGGGAGUGGGAGAGGUAGACGGUACUCGGUAGGAAGUGGUAAAAUGCUUUGAUCUAUCGAUGACCACCUGUGGCGAAGGCGGUCUACCAGAACACGUCCGACGGUGAGGGAUGAAAGCUGGGGGAGCAAACCGGAUUAGAUACCCGGGUAGUCCCAGCUGUAAACUAUGCAAACUCAGUGAUGCAUUGGCUUGUGGCCAAUGCAGUGCUGCAGGGAAGCCGUUAAGUUUGCCGCCUGGGAAGUACGUACGCAAGUAUGAAACUUAAAGGAAUUGGCGGGGGAGCACCACAAGGGGUGAAGCCUGCGGUUC
rnacentral:rRNA from 1 species